GACAAGAAGCGCGGGUUCCGAAAAUACGAAACUACAGCUUUCAAAGCCCAAAAAUCCAACUCUCGCACCUUUUUCUCUUAAAUUAAUAGAUCUUUUCCGCUAAAGCUACCAAGCCCUUCUCUUCGUUCCCUCAAAACUCUCUCUAAAGCAGAGCAACGAAACAUGGCGUUGAACGCUCUUGGAGGUUUGGGUUUAGCCAAGCCCAUAACCACCAUGAUUACGAUGAUGAUGCAGAAGAAACCUAUGGUUCUAUACCACUAUCCAUCCCAGACGGAGCUUUUGCAGCUUUAACAGCUCACCUCUUCUUCUCUCCUGCUUGUCUUCGGUGAUGUUCUUCCCCAACACCGUCUACAACCUCAUCGCUUCCAAUUAGCUCCCUCUCGCCAAAAUCAGCGAUAUUUACCUUCUACACUUCGUGGAUCCUCUGGGUUUGUUCAGGAAAUCUCUUCCAAGGUCAGCAGAGUGGUGGUUUCGGAUCACCACAAGACCGCAGUGGAGGGUCUUUGCAGUUAGAGUUCUUGUUCAGUUGGUGAGUAUAUGGAGAGGGUUAUUGAUAUGCGGAGGAGUGAAGCUACUAUUGCUUUAGAUUAUUUCGAGGAAAAAGCUGGUAGUCGUCUAAAAGAUUUGAAUGGCGGUUCGAUGUGGGUUUGGACUUUGAAUCCAUCUUUGUUCAAGCAGGUAAUUUGUUUUUAUGGGUUUAUUGGGUUUUUAUUUUAUUUCAUUUUAUUUUUUAAAGCUGUAAAGCUAAAAAAUUCUCUCUUUAUUUGGGUGUAUAAGGCUUUUGCAUUUGUUUUUUUUGAAUUUGGAGGAUGUAAUUAGUCAGGGAUUGACCAGCUUAUCCUAAAAGCAGGAAAUGAUUCUCUCGGUCAAUCAUAUGAGAUUGCUCUUGUGGCUGGAGCAUUUGUAGAUUGCUUGGUAUAGUCAAUACUGUCAAAGCCCAUUCUGUAUCGGAGUUGAGGAAUGAACUUGGACAUCAAUUAGCCAACAAAAGCCAUAAUCUAAAGUUGAGGAAAAUACCAUGUCCAUGCCAUCAAUUACAAUAACUACACAAUUCGACUGGUGGAUUUCAAUAUUGACAAGGCUGAUUGCUCUUCGGUGCCUCCUUACUCCUUGUUCAAUUAUAACUUCAGUCACAGAGAUCCAUAUUCAAUUUGGAUGGCUACAGACAGUAGAUUAUAUUCACUCUCAGAAGCUAUAACAUUCGUCAAGUGUGAACAUCCAGUUGGUGAAACAUAUACAUUGGAGUUAGAGGAUUCUUGCCGUAUAGAGCUGAUGGUUAUGAUCACAUCACGACUGCAGAGAAUUUGGGAAAACAGCAGCACCAACAUUUCCUACAAAGACAUACACAAUCAACUUGUAUACGGCUUUGAGCUUUCAUGGUUGUCAAGUUUUGCUAAAAAAGAUAAAUGGCUUUGCUAUGCCACGCGCUACAACGACUCGUUCUAUUGUAAGGAUAUUUAGAAGCCUGAAUUUUUUUUUUUUUUUUUUUUAAAUUGUGGAAUUAUAUAGUUUCCUCUACCUUUAAGAUAUACAAUAUAAUAUAGUUUCCACUGUAGCCGAUGUAUGGCCUCGGACCGGUUUUGGAAUUGACGGUGAGGAUCCUCUCUCAAGUCUCAACAUCCUAAUACGCUAUUACAAUCCCAGAAAGAAACAGUUUCCACAAAUUUCUUGAUAAAUAUGAAAAAUCUGAUUUUUGAUAGUUUAUUUGUGAGAAUUUCUAUGAUCAUAUAUAUCGGCUAAUAUUUAAAGCUGCACACACAAAGUCUUUUUACUUGAUUGAUUUAUUCAGGAUCAUUUUGGACAUUUAUUAACCUCUUUUACUUGGUUCUUUUUAGGCCCUCUAGUGAUCGGCCGACACAUACUCCUAUUGAUCGUGCUUUUGUGGAGCAAAGUCAAACUUGUAGUUGGGACUCCAUUUGUAAUUGCGUUUCUUAUAUGCAAAUGACGAAGGCGGCAUCUAUCAAUGUAUAAUAUUAUUGAAGAAUUGUUACAAGCUAACAACGAUCUACUGAAAUUAGAAAGAUGACCAACGGUUUCAAGGGCAAACUAGGUGAAGGAGGUUAUGGUUCUGUCUAUAAAGGAAAGCUUCAUAGUGGAUGUUUCAUAGCAUUCAAGAUGUUAGAGAAAUCCAAGACUAAUGGGCAAAUUCAUCAAUGAAGUUUCUACCGUUGGAGGAUUCACCAUUUCAAUGUCAUGCAGCGUGUUGGUUUUUGUACUAAGGGAUCAAAACGUGCUCUUGUAUACGAUUUUAUGCCUAAUGGAUCUCUUGACAAAUAUCUUUUUUCUCAAGAAGGAAUUAACUCCUUAGAGUGCAAGACAAUGUGUGAAAUCUCAUGUGGAGUGGCUUGUGGUAUGAAUAUCUUCAUCAAGGAUGCAACAUUCAAAUCUUGCAUUUUAAUAUUAAGCCACAUAACAUUCUUUUGGAUCAGAAUUUUAUUCCAAAGGUUUCUGAUUUUGGGCUUGUAAGACUAUCUCCAUUAGGCAAUAGCAUUGUCUCUCUUACCAUAGCAAGAGGAACAAUGGGAUACAUAGCUCCAGAGUUGUUUUACAAGAAUAUUGGAGCAGUUUCUAACAAAGCAGAUGUUUAUAGUUUCGGAAUGCUAUUGACGGAAAUGGCUAGUAGAAGAAAGAAUUUGAAUGCCGGUGCAGAUCAUACAAGUCAAAUUUACUUUCCUUCAUGGAUUUAUGAUCAAUUCAAGGAACGAAACGACAUUGAAAUGGGUGAUGCAACAGAGGAUGAAUCAAAAAUAAGAAAGAAGAUGAUUAUAGUUGCAUUGUGGUGUAUACAGAUGAAUCCAAAUGAUCGACUAACAAUGAGCAGAGUCAAAGAGAUGCUUGAAGGAGAUGUGGAAAGCCUGCAGUCCCUCCAAAGCCUUAUGUAUGUCCACAAGAAAAGCCUAUAAAUGAUGAAAGGGUGAAAUCAGAUUCAAGAUAGUCAACAACAACUUCAUGUCAUGACGACUCCAAAGAGAUUAGUCAAAUUAUAGAAUCAAGUUAAAGAGAUAACAUCUAAGAAUUGAGCAAUCGAAUUAUGCCUUGUUGAAUAACAGUAUUUCACUCGAAUGCAUAUUGUUGAGAGAAAGGUUGUCUUAAUCUCAAUCUCUAUGUUUUGGACACAGGACCAGAGCGAAGGCAUUGGGUUAAACACCACUGCUGUGGCUGGUCAUUUCAAUUCGAUGGUCGAUGCAAAAUCUAGACUGGAGAUCCCGGUGAAGGAGAUCUAUUCAAUUGGGAAUUACUAUUCAUCCAAUGUACCAUUAAACUCAUAACUUUUCUUGCGGAGAAUAUUUCAAUUUAGUGAAAAACUUUAUGUAUGUGAUUCGAAUGAUGGUUUUAGUCGUCUUUAAUUUGAUUCAAAUGGUGUUCUUUUCUUCUCAGGCCAGGAAGCCUUGUACAAUCAAAAAACAAAGAGAAAAAUGGACAGAGGAAGAGCAUCAAAAGUUCCUUGAAGACUUGAACUUGUAUGAUUGUGGUUGGCAUUAAAUAU